CAAUUUUUAUGAUAAGCAUCUCUCCAUCUUCAUCGUGUUUUCUUAUUUAAGAUAAUAUUCUUCAAAUUUCAAUUUGUUGUCUAUACAAUGGAGUGUUGUUGUGUUCGUAAUUGUUAAUUGACAGAUGUAAGUUUUUCGGAAAGCUAUUACAUUUAUGGUUUGAACAAUGUUUAUGCUUUAGUCUUUCCCUUUUUGGCUGAAUCUCAUAGGUUAUAUAGGCUUGUGUGUUUUGGUCAAAACCUAGUAUUUAACCCCAAAAAAAAAAAAAAAUUCAGGGUUUAUGUAAGCUUGUGUUUUCUAGCUGACAUCUCAAAUUGGCCAGAAACCUAAGCCGUGUGAAAGUUGGCCGACACUCUCUUUUAGGCCAAAAUUAAGAAAUUUUUUUUUAUAUUUCAGGAAAAUGAGAGCAAUAACUUAAAUUCUUGUAGAGUAUGGAGGACAUUAGGGAUGCUAAAAUGAUGGUUCAUAAAAGAAACAACAUCCAAAACCACAAUGUUUCUGAUUGUGAAGGAGAUUACUCAUGAAUAUGAUAACCCCAUCAAAAUCAACGGUGACAAAUAAUUAUCAUUUUUCUUUAACAAACAAAGGGAUGACACUAUCAAAUAUCUUCUCUUACAUGUUACAACAAAUGAUACACCCUUUUUAUCUGAGUUUCGUAUCCCAAGUGUUGUUAAUGAAGAUAUCUGUGAGAUUCAAGCCAUAACUAUGAAAUAUGGUUACGUUGGUGAUCUUAAUAACACUUCAAGGUUGGAUGAAUCACAACGCUGGUAGAAAUAGUCUUUAUGGUUAAGUUGACUAAAUUGGGUGGAAGACAAGCAUGAAUGAAUAUUAGCUUUACAAUGAUAACAUAUACUGGGUUUGUAUUUCACCAUCUAUAACCAUACCAUUGUUUGUCAGUCUUGCCUUUGAUGAUGGUGAUAUAAGGGUAGGAAUGGCUUGUGCUUUGAAAAUAUAAAAUAAGAGACAAAGUGAAUUGAAUAGGAGUAAGCCAAAAUUUUGAGUACAAUAUGGCUUGAUUUAAUAGUUAUCAUUUUGAGGCCAUAUGCAAAAACUUAAACAACUACAAAUGGCAUGCGGUUGCACUAAAGACAAAACCAUACAACCUUUAUCAGAUUAAAAAGGCUUAAGGGAAAUAUACUUGUGCUAGAAAUAAGCUGCUCCCUAAUCAUAUAAAUGUUUCUACUAAAGUAAUUGCUUUAUAUGCAUUGAUAUGGGCGGAAUUAGGUCAUUUUAGGGUAGGCCCUAAAUUUAAAAUUGUUUUUGAAAAGUUUAACGAAGGCCCACCCUUCUUUCAUUAGACCCACCCUCAAUAUUAAUUUUUUUUUUUUAAGUCUAAGUAAGCCAAAAAACUUAAAGAUCGAAAACUUAAUUUACAAUUACAAAUCCCUAACUUAUUCACCACAUCCCAUUCUUCCAAUUUUGGCUUUUCCAAAGAAUUUUUAAAACUAAGUUAUAAUCCCACAAUCUGUUGCCCAUUGCAUCUAGUUCCAGCUUUCAGAGUUUCAGUUUGUAGAAAUUUCAUAGAGUUGAUUAUAUAAAAUGAGAAAUGAAGAAACUUGCUUUGAAAUCUCGUUGAAAGAAGGUUCUAAUAUGUGCAAAGAUAAUGACAUACCAUUUUCAGAUAACAUGGAAGAUAACUUCGAGGAGGACAAAACAAGGGAUUCCAUCGAUUACGAAUAAACAUCAUUUUAAGCUGUUGCUAUGGCUAUUACUCGAUCCUUUCCACAAUUAUCUGAUUCUUCCAAAUCUUCUAGCAAGCUCAACUCCUAUGGUCAUAAUAAACAUGAUUGUGGUCAUGGUAAUGGUGGUUAAUCUACUCCUUGCCAAUGUAAUACCCUCAGGUUGUUUUGGUAAUAAGAGAAGGAAACAAGAAGGAGGGACCCAACCUAGUAAAGAUUGACUUAAAACAAAGUACAAGUGAUCGUGCUAGCUACGAGGUACGGUAAGGUCAGCGAAGAUAAAUCUAACUGGAGCAGGAUAUCUUUAGUUUAUAUUACAUGCAUAUAAUCAUAUGUUAUUGUUGGUUUUUGCGCUUCUUGAGAUGGUUGUACAGUUAUAUAUGAUUACUCAAUGUUUUCAGAUGUUUUUCGAUGAGUUUUUACAUGUGAUAUGUACAUUUUUUGUUCGCUUCUG